GAAGGCCGUUAGCGUUACUCGGAAUUACUGGGCGUAAAGCGUGCGUAGGUGGUGAGUUAAGUCUGUCGUGAAAGCCCCGGGCUCAACCUGGGAAUGGCGAUGGAUACUGGCUCGCUAGAGUGNGCUAGAGGGUGGUGGAAUUCCCGGUGUAGCAGUGAAAUGCGUAGAGAUCGGGAGGAACAUCAGUUGCGAAGGCGGCCACCUGGACCAGCACUGACACUGAGGCACGAAAGCGUGGGGAGCAAACAGGAUUAGAUACCCUGGUAGUCCACGCCCUAAACGAUGCGAACUGGACGUUGGGAGCAACUAGGCUCUCAGUGUCGAAGCUAACGCGUUAAGUUCGCCGCCUGGGGAGUACGGUCGCAAGACUG
rnacentral:rRNA from 1 species